GGUGGUUCUCGGGUGAUGCACCCCGGAAUCGAGCCCCCUCCUCUCUCGUUCCGGGUUCGUCAACUGAGAACUGCA
rfam:Myotis brandtii contig307400, whole genome shotgun sequence.